rnacentral:rRNA from 1 species
CCUACGGGAGGCAGCAGUGGGGAAUUUUGGACAAUGGACGCAAGUCUGAUCCAGCCAUUCCGCGUGCAGGACGAAGGCCUUCGGGUUGUAAACUGCUUUUGUACAGAACGAAAAGGUCUCUAUUAAUACUAGGGGCUCAUGACGGUACUGUAAGAAUAAGCACCGGCUAACUACGUGCCAGCAGCCGCGGUAAUACGUAGGGUGCAAGCGUUAAUCGGAAUUACUGGGCGUAAAGCGUGCGCAGGCGGUUAUAUAAGACAGAUGUGAAAUCCCCGGGCUCAACCUGGGAACUGCAUUUGUGACUGUAUAGCUGGAGUGCGGCAGAGGGGGAUGGAAUUCCGCGUGUAGCAGUGAAAUGCGUAGAUAUGCGGAGGAACACCGAUGGCGAAGGCAAUCCCCUGGGCCUGCACUGACGCUCAUGCACGAAAGCGUGGGGAGCAAACAGGAUUAGAUACCCUGGUAGUCCACGCCCUAAACGAUGUCAACUGGUUGUUGGGUCUUCACUGACUCAGUAACGAAGCUAACGCGUGAAGUUGAACCGCCUGGGGAGUUACGGCCGCAAGGUUGAAACUUCAAAGGAAUUGACGGCUUGGAGAGNGCGAGCGACACGAGGAGGAGG